AAGGUAGAAUGUCCCUCAUGGUCUCAUAUGUCUGAACACUUGGUGCCCAAGACCUAACCAGCUAAAGUUCCAAGCCAAGUUCUGAGAUAUUCAACUCCUAGGGAGACACUGCAUGGCCUGGAGCCUGUAUUGUCCAAACAACAGCCCUCCCAGUCUUCUGCUCGAAUUCCUUGACCUCCUCUCUGUGGUUUUAAACCCACAGGAAGUGAUGCUAUUAGGAAGUGUGGGCUUGUUGGAAGAAGUGCAUCACCGUGGGGGAUGGGCUUGGAGAGACUCUCCUCCUGGCUACCUGUGGAAGACAAUCUUCUGUUUGCCUUUGGAACAAGAUGUAGAACUUUCAGCUCCUUCUCCAG